AUACGGAGGGUGCGAGCGUUAAUCGGAAUUACUGGGCGUAAAGCGCACGUAGGCGGUUUGUUAAGUCGGAUGUGAAAUCCCCGGGCUCAACCUGGGACCUGCAUCCGAUACUGGCGGGCUAGAGUCUGGUAGAGGGGGGUAGAAUUCCUGGUGUAGUGGUGAAAUGCGUAGAUAUCAGGAGGAAUACCAGUGGCGAAGGCGGCCCCCUGGACUGAGACUGACGCUGAGGUGCGAAAGCGUGGGGAGCAAACAGGAUUAGAUACCCUAGUAGUCC
rnacentral:rRNA from 1 species